rnacentral:miRNA from 1 species
UAUAUAUAAAGAAUUUUCUAUUCAAGCAAAUAAUGUGUGUGUGUGUACAUUAUAUACACACACAUACAUUAUUUGCUUGAAUAGAAAAUCACUUC